AACCAGAUGCUCCACAGGGCACAGCUUUAUACGACCGCAUAGGUUGAACCCUGAACGGUUGGGGCAAGUAUGGACACAACAUUCAAGCUGGAUUCAGCUCUAAAUUUGGAUUGUGAUUAAAUAGUUGACACAGCAUAGGUUUUGGACACAGAAUGAAUGUGGUCUAAUGAACUUAAAAUAUUUUUUUUGUCUUUGAGCAAUCACUAUGCUGUUGAAUAUUAAUCCUCUCAAAAAAAUGUUUGAAGAAAUUUUCUUUUUAUUUAUGAAAUCUGAAAUGAGAAAAAUUAAAACCCCCCCCCCCCCACAUUUUUUUUUCACAUCCCCUUUCCCUUUUUUCAAAACUGAUCUCAAUUCAAAUUUCUAAUGGAGUUUGCAACAAUAACUACUCAUUUAAAUACAUCAUAAAAUAUUAAAAUGUAACAAAAAGUGCUUGUUAUCACUGAAUGGUAAAGAGUGUUUUAAUUCAUCAGUUGGUAGUAAAAGUGAAUAUACAUUGUGCAUUGUAUAAAACAAUGAUUUAAGUUGAUUCAACUACUAUUCUGGACAAAGAAAGAUAACUCCAAUCAAUUGAAAAUUUCUUGCUAUUGCACGAUAUUGUGCAAUAAGAUAUUUCUUGCUAUUGCGCAAUACUGUGCAAUUGAAAAUAUUUGCUAUUGCACAAUACUGUGCAAUUGAAGAUUUCUUGCUAUUGCACAAUACUGUGCAAUUGAAC
rnacentral:lncRNA from 1 species